rnacentral:pre_miRNA from 1 species
CAAGUACUCCCUCCGUCUGGAAUUACUUGUCAUCAAAAUGGAUGUGUCUAGAACUAAAAUACAUCUAGAUACAUCCAUUUCAAUGACAAGUAUUUUCGGACGGAGGGAGUAGAAG